rnacentral:rRNA from 1 species
AGCGAACGCUGGCGGCAGGCCUAACACAUGCAAGUCGAACGAACCUUUCGGGGUUAGUGGCGGACGGGUGAGUAACACGUGGGAACGUGCCUUUAGGUUCGGAAUAACUCAGGGAAACUUGUGCUAAUACCGAAUGUGCCCUUCGGGGGAAAGAUUAAUCGCCUUUAGAGCGGCCCGCGUCUGAUUAGCUAGUUGGUUGAGGUAAUGGCUCACCAAGGCGACGAUCAGUAGCUGGUCUGAGAGGAUGAUCAGCCACAUUGGGACUGAGACACGGCCCAAACUCCUACGGGAGGCUGCAGUGGGGAAUCUUGCGCAAUGGGCGAAAGCCUGACGCAGCCAUGCCGCGUGAAUGAUGAAGGUCUUAGGAUUGUAAAAUUCUUUCACCGGGGACGAUAAUGACGGUACCCGGAGAAGAAGCCCCGGCUAACUUCGUG